rnacentral:rRNA from 1 species
AGCGAACGCUGGCGGCAGGCCUAACACAUGCAAGUCGAACGGAUCCUUCGGGAUUAGUGGCGGACGGGUGAGUAACACGUGGGAACGUGCCCUUUGGUUCGGAACAACUCAGGGAAACUUGAGCUAAUACCGGAUGUGCCCUUCGGGGGAAAGAUUUAUCGCCAUUGGAGCGGCCCGCGUCUGAUUAGCUAGUUGGUGAGGUAAAAGCUCACCAAGGCGACGAUCAGUAGCUGGUCUGAGAGGAUGAUCAGCCACAUUGGGACUGAGACACGGCCCAAACUCCUACGGGAGGCAGCAGUGGGGAAUCUUGCGCAAUGGGCGAAAGCCUGACGCAGCCAUGCCGCGUGAAUGAUGAAGGUCUUAGGAGUGUAAAAUUCUUUCACCGGGGACGAUAAUGACGGUACCCGGAGAAGAAGCCCCGGCUAACUUCGUGCCAGCCGCCGCCGUAAAAC